ACCAUUCUUGAAGCUUCCAUGCCAUUUUCUCUUUGUCCACUAUGUAACCAAGUUUUCUUCAUUUUCCUUUCCAUGUUUUCUUUUCCUUUCUUCUCCAAACUUCUUGAGCACUAAAUUUACAGCCUUUAACCCCAAUUUCCAGCACAUCUAAACCCUAGGAGGAGAAGAAAGAAAAAGAGAGAAAGGAAGAAAAAGCUUGGUUUUGGUGAUUCAAGCAAGGAACGGUAAGAAUUCUUAUUUUUUGCUUGAGUAGUCUUUAAAAAUGAGUUAGUGACUUAGAGAAAUCUCUUGCGGCAGCAAAGAUUGGCUUGAUUGGAGAAAAAUUGAUAACAUGUAAGACAAUAAACCCAUGGGUACAUGAAGAACUCAAAGUGGAAAAGGAAAACAGUAAGCUUAACACUAUGUUUUAAAGCCUACUGUUAGUUGAAUAUUGUGAGGAAUUAUAGUUGUUGAAAGGAUUUAUUUGCCUAAGUUAGUUGAAAAUUAUUAAGAUUGUAUGGCAUGUUGUUUGAAAGAAAUGAAAAAGGAAUAUUGUGGAUGGAGGAUUGAGAAACAAAGUAUUGAAAGUUUGAUAGAUAACGAUGCAUGUAAACUACGAAAUAAUCGAGUGAAAGUGAGAAUGAUUGUUGCUUACAUAUAUGUGGAUUAUGUGUGGAAAUAUAAGAUGGAUUUGAGCGAAAAUUAUUUAGAAAGGUUGAAGUAGGUACGAGACAUUAUAAAUAAGUUGUCGAUGUUAUAAUAUAAGGAAUUACAUAAGCAACGGAUAUAAGUAAUUUUAGUAAAAAUGCCUUAAGAUGUGAGUUAAUUGAAUAUGAUUUCAUGCUAGGGUGAGAAACAGAGGUGGGAUUGAUGCACUAAAUAUAUUGAGUUUGGAUUCUUGCUAGGACGUGUUAAAGUAAAGUUAGAAUACUGUGGUAGCGUGUCAAAGGGAAUAACGAGCAACCGGCAAGUAUAAAUAGCUAGAUACACUUUUGAGCUAAUAGCGAUGUAACAUCCCGCUAUUGUAAGG
rnacentral:lncRNA from 1 species